rnacentral:snoRNA from 1 species
GUUGCUCUGAUGAUAAAAACCUUAAAAAUAUUAACGACAUCGAAACAAAAAAAGCUUGAAAAGCCAUGAUAUUUAUAAUGAUAGGACUGAUAAC